AUAUCAAUAAGCGGAGGAAAAGAAACUAACAAGGAUUCCCCUAGUAACGGCGAGUGAAGCGGGAACAGCUCAAAUUUGAAAUCUCCUUCGGGCGAAUUGUAGUUUAGAGAAGCGUUUUCUGAUGGCGGAUAGGUACAAGUUCUUUGGAACAAGACAUCAUAGAGGGUGAAAAUCCCGUCUUUGACCUAUCUCAAGUCUAUGUGAUACGUUUUCCAAGAGUCGGUUUGUUUGGGAAUGCAGACCAAAAUGGGAGGUAAAUACCUUCUAAAGCUAAAUAUUGGCGAGAGACCGAUAGCGAACAAGUACCGUGAGGGAAAGAUGAAAAGAACUUUGAAAAGAGAGUUAAACAGUACGUGAAAUUGUCAAAAGGGAAACGUUUGAAACCAGUAUUGCUGGCGAGAAUUCAGCUCCCAUUUAUGGUAGUGUACUUUCUCGUUAGCGAGUCAACAUCAGUUUGACUUGGAGCAAAAAGCUAUGGAAAGGUAGCCCUUUUGGGUGUUAUAGUCCAUGGUCAUACUCUAGGUUGGACUGAGGACUGCAGCGUUUUUGCCUUCGGGACACCAGCGCUUAGGAUGUUGACGAAAUGGUUUUAAGCGA
rnacentral:rRNA from 1 species